rnacentral:Y_RNA from 1 species
AGCUGCUCCAAGUGCAGUGGUGUUUCCACUAAUUGAUCACAACCAGUUACAGAGUUCUUUGUUUCUUCUCCACUCCCACUGCUUCACUUGACUAACCAAAA